rnacentral:tRNA from 1 species
GCCCUGGUGGCACAAUGGUUAAGCUCUCAGCUGCUAACCGAAAGGUUGCUGGUUCAACCCAGCCAGUGGCU